AUAUAUAGCCUAACCUAACCUACGAGUUGGGAAUUAUAUAAACUCGCAGGUCAAUAAUUUAUCACAUUUACCAAAUUUAGUGGUGAUUAUAUAUGUAUAAUAACCGGCAAUUAUAUAUAAUCACCGGAUUAAUCACAUUUACCGUAAUAAGAGCGUUUCAAUUCAUUGACCACCACCCUCUAGGUAUUCUGUAUAAUGCCCGAACAUUUUAUUGAUUGACCGAAACUUGUUACGGACAUUUUGCACAAUGUCUAUUCGAACGGGCAUUCUACACAAUGCCCGGUCAUUUUACAAAAUGCCCACGUUGAACACAUUGCCCGUAACAUAUAUAUAUUGUGUAAUGCAUGAUUCUCCAAAGCCACCCAAAAUAGAGGGACAGGCACGUUUAUACAGCAUGAAAUUUUGUCCUUUUUCACAACGCAUUAGAUUAAUAUUAUCGUAUAAAAAUAUUCCUCAUGAUGUUGUUAAUAUCAACUUAAAAAAUAAACCAGAAUGGUAUUCUGAGAUUCAUCCAGAAGGCAAAGUACCAACAUUUGUUGAUGCAGAUGGAAAAGUAGUUACUGAUUCGUUAAAAAUAGCAAAUUAUUUGGAUGAGAAAUAUCCUGAGCCUGCUUUAUAUAAUGAAAAAGCAAAAGACCGUGAUUUAGAAUUAUUAGAUCAUUAUUCAAAGAUUGUUGGUGUUUUUUCAAAUUGUAUACAUGAUAAGGAUAAAAGACCACUUAGCGAAAUUGUAACUGAAAUAUCAUCUCUGUUAGUAGAAUUUGAAGAAGAACUUAAAGCUCGUGGAACUACUUUCUUUGGAGGCUCACAGCCUGGUAUGUUGGAUAUAUUAAUGUGGCCAUGGGUUGAACGCCGAAAAGCUUUACCGCUAAUUUAUAAAGAACCCACGAAUUUUGAUCAUGAAAAUUUUCCGCAUAUACUGAAAUGGAUGCAGGAAAUGAAAGUACAACCAUUUGUACAGGAAAAUGAGUGUUCGCAUGAAAAAUUUGCCGAAUCAAUCGAGAAUAUGAGAGCGGGAAAGCUUGAUUACGAUAAGCUUUAAAUCCCUUAAUAUGUGAUAAUACAUUUUUUGAUUUAUAUAGGUUUCUCAAAUGAUUCAUACGGGGUAUAAAUUACAGUAUUACAGUAAUUGUUUAAUUGAAUUUCUCGUUAAUGUUUAAAACAUAUCGAACAGUAUUGCUUAUAAAUAGGAACAGUUACUAUAUGAAUACAUAUAAACGAGCUUUAUAACUCAUGCCUUCUAUUAUGACAAAUAUACUGUUUAGAUAAAGCAACUUGGACUUUAGUAUGUAGUUAUUCGUUGAAAUAUUUUUAUUUUACAUAAAGAAAAAUGUAGAAAAUGUAUUGUAAAAUACUUUGAAGUUCUGAUAAGAAAUUUCGACAUAUUUAUAAUACGUUGCUUAUGAAAAAGUACAUACACAAAAAAGCAGAUGUGUACACAAGUGCAAUACUCAAUAUUAGCAUGUAUUUACUUCCGUAUUGGACAUGCUGGGAUUGUCUCAGGAAGAUUGAAUUUCAUCUAUGUUUAUAUGAGCAAUAAAACGUAGUCUCAUUUGCAAAGCUGGCCUUAGUCUUCGUAUAAUGCAUUCGACUUCGUUCUUCAUCAUGUCACCAACAAACAUGUAUUUUAUGUGAUACCUGUUGCAAUUAAUAUUAAGGAAAAUACACGUUUCGUUAAACGAUUCUUUGAAAGACAAUAAAUAAAAGGAUACAGUAAAUCACAAACUGGAUCCAUGUAUUUUAGAUGAGACUGAAGACGAUCCACUUGUUCGAGCAUCUCAUAUAAACAAACUGCUAAUUCCACGACACAAUUUGGUCUUUCAGCGUUAAAUCUUGCUAACGUGGGUCCAAUUAAAUGACAAGCAUAUAUCAAUUGCUCUUCGCUAUUCACAACUGGUUGAAGGUUUUCCUUAAUAAAUCUAAAUAAAAUUAUAUUAAAAUCACUGCGAGACUAUUAUGGGUAUUAUUGAAAUUGAACAUUUGAAACGGAGUUAAAUUAUUAUAUUGCCAGUUAGCUAAUCCUGGACUGCUAAUAGUUUCUACCAGACGAUCAUGAAGUGCCGACCAAUAACAUUCUGGUAAAGCAGCUAAUAACAAUCCCACACAAUUAAUCCACAAAUGAAUUUCAUCCGACGCUUACCCUUUUGCAACCACAUCUAAUAACGAAUUAGCAACUAAAUUUGGAGCAACAGGAACAGCCAUUAACUCAACACACGUAACAUACAACGCAUGGGCGGCAGGAUUAGGAAAUUCGUUAAAUCUCCAAUCAGUAGCGGGAAAAUGAGCCAUACCUGACAUUGCUUUGGUACAUAUUUUGUUAGAAGAAAAGUUGACCAUUUGACCAAUAUUUUGUACUAAGAGGACUACUUACUUUCGACAAUUCUUUGCACUAAACGGAUGUAAUAAUCUAAUUCCGGCAUCCAAGUGACAACAUCGUCGGUAGAUCGAGUCAUGUACAUUUGGUAAGCUUCUGAAAGUGCCCAUCCUGGUGCUCUAAUUUCUCUCAGAGAUCCUAAAACUGCGAAGACUAAACGUCGUUUAAGAGGCGGGUUAUCCCUUAAUUUCCGUUCAUAAUAGUGUAAUGUGUUGUAAAGAUAUGUUACAGGUCGAUCUGAAAUUCAAUACAUCAAAUUAAAUGAAAGAAAUUUAAAUAU